UAUAACUAUGAUGAUUUUGAUACCGCCCCAGACUUACUUCACCUUGAAUGAUUGGUUCAACUGAUUUAUG